UGCCAUGGCCACACCACCCUGAACAUGCCCAAUCCUGUUGGAUCUCAGAAGCUUAGCAGGGCCUGGUUAGUACUUGGAUGGGAGACCUUAAUUUUAAUAAGGCAUUUUUU
ensembl:rRNA 5S_rRNA 5S ribosomal RNA